rnacentral:rRNA from 1 species
AGUCGAGGGGUAUGGGCUUUCGGGCCCAGAGACCGGCGCACGGGUGCGUAACGCGUAUGCAAUCUACCUUUUACAGCGGGAUAGCCCAGAGAAAUUUGGAUUAAUACCACAUAGUAUUAUAGGAUGGCAUCAUUUUAUAAUUAAAGUCACAACGGUAAAAGAUGAGCAUGCGUCCCAUUAGCUAGUUGGUAAGGUAACGGCUUACCAAGGCAACGAUGGGUAGGGGUCCUGAGAGGGAGAUCCCCCACACUGGUACUGAGACACGGACCAGACUCCUACGGGAGGCAGCAGUGAGGAAUAUUGGACAAUGGGCGCAAGCCUGAUCCAGCCAUGCCGCGUGCAGGAUGACGGUCCUAUGGAUUGUAAACUGCUUUUAUACAGGAAGAAACCCUUGCUCGUGAGCAAGAUUGACGGUACUGUAAGAAUAAGGAUCGGCUAACUCCGUGCCAGCAGCCGCGGUAAUACGGAGGAUCCAAGCGUUAUCCGGAAUCAUUGGGUUUAAAGGGUCCGUAGGCGGUUUAAUAAGUCAGUGGUGAAAGCCCAUCGCUCAACGGUGGAACGGCCAUUGAUACUGUUAGACUUGAAUUAUUAGGAAGUAACUAGAAUAUGUAGUGUAGCGGUGAAAUGCUUAGAUAUUACAUGGAAUACCAAUUGCGAAGGCAGGUUACUACUAAUUGAUUGACGCUGAUGGACGAAAGCGUGGGUAGCGAACAGGAUUAGA